GGAAUAAAAAUAAAAGAAAAAGCUUCUAACUUUAAUCUUUAGCAGUGAAAAUCUGUUAGUGUUCCU
rnacentral:tRNA from 1 species